CGGGCAAUAGCUCAGUGGUAGAGCUCCCGCUUCGUACGCCGGGAAGACCUGGGUUGGAUUCCUGGUUGCUUAU
rnacentral:tRNA from 1 species